rnacentral:rRNA from 1 species
UGGGGAAUAUUGCACAAUGGAGGGAACUCUGAUGCAGCGACGCCGCGUGAACGAAGAAGGCUUUCGAGUCGUAAAGUUCUUUUAUAUGGGAAGAUAAUGACGGUACCAUAAGAAAAAGCCCCGGCUAACUACGUGCCAGCAGCCGCGGUAAUACGUAGGGGGCUAGCGUUGUCCGGAAUCACUGGGCGUAAAGGGUUCGCAGGCGGAAAUGCAAGUCAGGUGUAAAAGGCAGUAGCUUAACUACUGUAAGCAUUUGAAACUGCAUAUCUUGAGAAGAGUAGAGGUAAGUGGAAUUUUUAGUGUAGCGGUGAAAUGCGUAGAUAUUGAAAAGAAUACCGGUGGCGAAGGCGACUUACUGGGCUCAUUCUGACGCUGAGGAACGAAAGCGUGGGUAGCAAACAGG